rnacentral:rRNA from 1 species
UGGGGAAUAUUGCACAAUGGGCGAAAGCCUGAUGCAGCAACGCCGCGUGAGUGAUGAAGGCCUUCGGGUUGUAAAGCUCUGUCUUCUGGGACGAUAAUGACGGUACCAGAGAAGGAAGCCACGGCUAACUACGUGCCAGCAGCCGCGGUAAUACGUAGGUGGCAAGCGUUGUCCGGAUUUACUGGGCGUAAAGGAUGCGUAGGCGGAUAUUUAAGUCAGAUGUGAAAAUCCCGGGCUUAACUUGGGAACUGCAUUUGAAACUGGGUAUCUAGAGUGCAGGAGAGGAAAGCGGAAUUCCUAGUGUAGCGGUGAAAUGCGUAGAGAUUAGGAAGAACACCAGUGGCGAAGGCGGCUUUCUGGACUGUAACUGACGCUGAGGCAUGAAAGCGUGGGGAGCAAACA